UGUGUAGCUGCACCUUUUGUCAUUGGCGGUGGAAAAUAAAAACACUUCCUCUUUCACUCUUCACAUAUUCUUAUUCAUAUUCAUAUUCCUAUAAAAAAAAAAAAGGAAAAAAUUUCCUCUCGAUUUCGAACUUCUCAAACCGUCUCUCUCUUUCUCUCAAUACAAACAAACGCGAUCUGUGUGCUGAUCCUUUCCUUUUACCAAACCAAACGCUUCGGAAUCUCGCCACUCUCAUUCCCUGGAUUCCACUCGCAAGGUCUUGAAGUUACAAACAGAGGAAACUUGAUAUUGUAAGUAAAUCAUUGCUAUACUUGGAGUUUUGGAGUAGUUUGCUAUGGAUCUUGCAAACAACACAGCAGGUGCUUCAGAAAGGCCUGCAAAACACAACGAAGGUGCUAUAGGAAGUCCUAUAAAUAAUAAAGCCAGUUAUGCAGGAAUUCCUUCAAACAAUGAAGUGGCCGGCACAGGAAUUCCUGUUACGGACCUUUCAGUUAGUUCAGCAAAUCCUGCAAAAGACGAACCAGGUGGUGCUAACCAUGUAAAUGACCAAGCUGAUAGUUCAGAAAAUCUUGCAAAGGACAAAUUAGAUGGUGCAGAAAAUUCUGAUGAAGACAAACCUGAUUCUCCCAUAAACCUUGUAAAUUACCGAUCAGGUGGUGCAGAAAAUCCACCAAAUGACAAAUUCAGUAGUGCAGAAAUGCCUGUGAAGGAACUAGCAGCUGGUAUAGGAACUCCUGUAGGUACUGCAGAAAGUCCUGUGAAGAGAAAAGAUGGUUCAGAAAAUCCUAUAAAUAAUACAAAAGGUGAUAUAGAAACUUCUGUACAUGACAAGGCAGAUUCUGCUGAAAAUGCUGUGGAUGACAAAACACGUGGCAUAGAAAAUCUUGUAAAUGAUAAAGCAGAUGAAGUAGAAAGUCCUUUAAACAAACAAGCAGAUGCUGCAGAAACUCCUGUAAAAGUCAAACAACUGGCUGCUGAAAACAUUGUAGAAUACAAAGCAGAUGCUGUUGAAUGCCCUGUAGACAGCAACAUAAAUCGUCUUCCAGCUGAAGCAAAGGAGAUAUUAAUAUCACUGGCAAGUAAAUGGGAGGAUGUGUUGGAUCCAAAUGCAUUGCAGGUGAUUCCUCUCAAAGGGGCAAUGACAAAUGUGGUAUUUCAGAUAAAGUGGAGAACUAAAGCUGGGGAAACAUCACGGAAGGUUCUAGUUAGAAUCUAUGGUGAGGGUGUUGACGUUUUCUUUGAUAGGCAUGAUGAGAUCCGGACAUUUGAAUUCAUGUCAAAACAUGGGCAGGGACCAUCUCUACUAGGACGGUUUGCAAAUGGUCGCGUCGAAGAAUUUAUCCACGCACGGACAUUAUCAGCAUCUGAUCUGCGUGAACCAUCAAUCUCUGCUCUUAUAGCAGCCAAAAUGAAGGAGUUCCACGAUCUUGACAUGCCUGGUGAAAAGAAAGUCCACCUUUGGGAUAGAUUACGAACAUGGCUUGGCGAGGCCAAACGUUUGUCAUCCCCUAAAGAAGUGGAGGCCUUUUAUUUGGACAUAAUUGACAGGGAAAUCUUUGUUUUGCAAAAUGAACUAUCAGGUGCUGCAAGCCAACGGAUAGGAUUUUGCCACAAUGAUUUGCAGUAUGGUAACAUAAUGCUUGAUGAAGAGACCAAUGCUGUCACCAUAAUAGAUUAUGAAUAUGCAAGUUAUAAUCCUGUAGCAUAUGACAUAGCAAACCACUUCUGUGAGAUGGCUGCUAACUAUCAUACAGAAACACCUCAUAUUCUCAACUACAAGAACUAUCCUGAUCUUGAGGAGCGUAGAAGAUUUGUGAACACAUAUUUGAGUUCCUCAGUUAUUGGACCUGGGCGCAGGUGCGCAACCAAAUGGCAGUGAAGUGGAGGAUCUACUUCAAGAAAUUGAGAAGUAUACACUUGCAAAUCAUAUUUUCUGGGGCGUUUGGGGAAUAAUUUCGGCUCAAGUAAACAAAAUUGAUUUCAACUACAAGGAGUAUGCGAAACAGAGGUUUCAAGAAUACUGGACAAGGAAACCUUAUCUUUUAAGCCAUGAUGCUCCCUCUCCUUAUAAUGCACCUUCUCCUUAUAACAAUCCUGCCGAGGGUACAGGUAUUUUGAUUUGAUUUGAUUGAUUUUUUAUUUUUUAUUUUUUUUUGUAUUUUUGAAACGUUAAAUAGAAUCAAUAGCUUGUCACCUACGGAACAGAUAGUAUUUUCUUGAUGUGAUUUUAAAGUGUAUGUUGAAGUUCGUUGUUUUUGUUUUUGACUUAGAAGAUUGUUAGUUGAGGUGAAUAGUUUUUCAGUGUUGCAAGCCACAACAAAUAACAGUAUUGUAUCUGUAAUUCAAGUGUGAUUCAUGACGUUAGAGAGUAAACAAAAACACAAUUUGUUUAGUAUUUUCUGAAAUAUUUAUUCAU